UACGGAAGGGGCUAGCGUUGUUAGGAAUUACUGGGCGUAAAGAGCGCGUAGGCGGCUUACCAAGUUGGGGGGGAAAUCCCGGAGCUCAACUCCGGAACUGCCUUCAAAACUGGUAGGCUCGAGUCCGGAAGAGGGGCGUGGAAUUCCCAGUGUAGAGGUGAAAUUCGUAGAUACUGGGAAGAACACGGGUGGCGAAGGCGGCGCCCUGAUCCGGUACUGACGCUGAGAUGCGAAAGCGUGGUGAGCAAACAGA
rnacentral:rRNA from 1 species